AGGUGCUCCCCAUUGAAGCCCUGGCUGCAGGUAUUAUCCAGCAUUAUGUUCUGGAGGAGCCUUGUUUGGGGGGAGAAGCCCUCGCAGGCAAUUCGGAAAUCACUCCUAGAAAAGACUAGAGGUGAAAUGUAAAACCUGAAUGGGGAUUGAGGGGGAAAAAGCCAGUGCUAAUUCACAUUCUUUUACAUGGCUUUUGUUUACGUUAAGCAUGUAAUUAACACCCCCCAAACAAGUUUAUUCACCUGCCGUAAUUGUGUGUUUAUCCGAGGGCUUGCUGAAUGUUCCGAGCAGCGGGAGACCAGAGCUGUGAAUGCGCACCGAGCAUUUAGCGUCUUCUCCGUUUACUUACAGCCCAAACCUCCAGACACCACAACACAAACAGCAUUCUGCGCUCUAAAACACUGAUAAGAUGUUGGUCAAGCAGACAGAGACGCCCCCUUCAUCCUGUGUCACAUUAUUCUAUUAAUUGGUUACAAAUCACUUUGUCAAACUUUGUUUAGAAAACUUUUCCAUAAAUAAAGUUAGUUUUUAGUUAGUUUUCAGUUUUUGCUGUUAAAGAAAAAAAGCUGCUUUUUAUUUGUCUCCAACAGUUCUUGCAGCACGCAACGAAUCUUAGUUACUAUACUGGUUAAUUGUCAAUUUUCAUUAUCAGUCCGUUCCAAUAAGGGGAGCAAAUAAACAAAGCUGAUGUUACGUCAUGUGUGGUAGUGAGGGAGAGAGAAGGAGACCGGUUGAGAGAAAGAAAGAAAAAGGUGUUGACUGUAAAAGGUAAGAGGGAAAGAGAAAGAAGGCAUGAAAGAAAAAGGCUCUUGUUUUAUUUCUUGCUCCCUCGUUGACCCCGGUUUGGCAGAGGCUGGCCAAAAGGCAGCACACCCCUCCCUGGCAAACACAGGACACACUCAUGUGGCUGCUGCUCCAUCCUGGAUUCAUCUCAACAAUACACAGGACGACACUUUGGAGCAACGACGGAGCUGUGAGCUGUGAGGAGGGUCCAGUCCACGGACUGUCACCAUUCAGGCUCGGGACUGGACGUGACACUGGUCCUCUGUUAUUUCACUGCUCAGUGGGUCCAAGAUCAGGAUGGAAAUCCAACCGCUGCUCCAUGUAACCGUUGAACCCGGUCGCCUCGCCUGGUCCCCCGUGUUAAAGAGCUGCAGCAACAUGAACAUGACACGGAGCAGCAGCGCUGGAGGAGGCCGCUGUUCACGCUUCCAGGUAGAUGAAUUAAUUUGGAGACAGAGGCAGAGACGGAGAAAUAAAUAUAAUGGAUGCAUAUUGUGCCUCGAGCUUUACAUAUGAUGCUCACCCUCCAGCCCUCCACUCCCACCUCUCAUCACAACAUCCAACUCUUAAAGACUCAUCAGUCGCUCACCUGCAUGUGUGGGCCUAAAGGUGCGCGCUAUGGCCACAGUUACAUCAGCACAAGUGUUGACAGAAUUUCUCUAUGAAAAUCGGUGUGUCUGGGACUCGCCUGUCAGGGCUGAUUAGAUGCAGAUAGGAGCCGUGGAGAUGGGCCCUUAAGCCCGGUGUCACCGGAGCUAACAGGCCGUAAUUACUCCGGUUGACAUAUUGCUCUCACAGCUCACUAAUGUGGGAGAGAAACCACAGACAGACAGACAGACAGACAGCAUGCAUAUAUACAGUCCAGGCCGCUCAGGCCACUCAGUCCCUUUUAACCCGGGUUCAUAUGCUGCUGGGCUGGCCACGUGCUCCACAACACCUGACCUUCUUCCAUUUGAACAUCUCAGUAGUGAAACAGCCUCUUAUUUAUUUAUCAGCUAGUGAUAUGGUAGAGAAGAUCAUAAGGCUCUCUGUGUGAAUGGAAACAGCGCGCUGCUGUGAGACACAGACAGAAAAUGAAUGGUGGAAAAGUACAUUUACUCAAGUACUGUACUUCAAAAUAGAAAUACUUGUACUUCUACUCCACUGCAUUUAUUUCACAGUUACUACUUUACAGGUGAUUAUUUGACAUACACAUACUGUAUAUGAUGAUGAUAUAUUAUGCAAUAUUACAGGUUAGACCAUUCAACAGUUGUAAUAUUAGUCUCACCUCGACCAGCUAUAUUCAAAAUGCCCUGUGCAUGUUAGAUUUAGAUUUGAUUUGUUUACACAUAUAAAAAAGGUACAAGUUGAUAUUACAUAAACAACAACAAUGUGAUGGAGAGAUGCAAAACAAACCUCUGAGGAGGUUCAUGAGGGCACUCUCCAAUGCAUAUACCUCAAUCAAUUAUAUAAAGACAAUAAAAUAUUGAAUUCAUUAAUAUUUCAGUAAUAUGUUAUACAUAAUAAAACACACUGAAACAGGGACUUUUUAUAAAUAAAGUACAUUUUGCUGAUAAUACUGUAGUUUAUUGUACUUUGAAUGCAAGACUGUUCAUUGUAAUAGAGUAUUUUUUACAAUGUGGUAUAGCUGCUUUUACAUAAGUGUCUGAAUACUUCUCCCAGCAGGCCAAAUAUAUCUAAAUAGAAUAAAGAUACCAUAAGAUAUAAACUGUGUUAAAGCAGCACGGAAGUAAACGUUCCCAAGUACUGUACUUAAGUACAAUUCUGUGGAACUUGAGUAUUUCCAUUUUAUGCUACUUUAUACUUCAUCUCCGCGACAUUUUAGAUGGAAAUGUUGUACUUUAUAACUCCACUACCUUCAUUUGAAAGAUUUAGUUACUAGUUACUUUGCAGGUUCAGAUUAACUACAACACGUUCAACAAACAAAAUGUAUAAUAUUGUAUAUAUAUAAUGGUUUAACACUCUGAAAUUGACCAUUAGGCAUAAUCAGUAGGUUCGUUUUAUUUAUGAUAUACUGAUAAUGCUUCUGUUCUUCUACUUAAGUAAACCUUUUGUGUGUCGAACAUUUAUUUGAAAGCUAAAGUUACUACUUUACAGAUUAUUAUUUUUACAUACACGUACUGUAUAUGAUGAUGAUAUAUUAUGCAAUAUUACAGGUUAAACCAUUCAACAGUUGUACGAUUAGUCUCACCUCGACAAACUACAUUGAAAAUGCCCUGUGCAUGUUAGAUUUUGAUUUGAUUCGUUUACACAUAUAAAAAAGAUACAAGUAGAUAUUACAUAAACAACAACAACAAUCUUGAUCAGGGUACUCUCCAGUCAAUUAUUUAAAGAGAAUGAAAUAUUAAAUCCAUUAAUAUUUCAGUAAUAUGUUAUACAUAACAAAACACACUGAAAAAGGCCAUUCUGUAUAAUGAGUACAUUGAAUUUUUAUAAAUAAGGUAAAUUUGGCUGAUAAUACUUUUAUACUUUAUUUAACUUUGAAUGCAUGACUGUUUCUUGUAGUAUUUUUACAAUGUGGUAUAGUUGCUUUUACAUAAGUGUCUGAAUACUUCUACCUGCAGGCCAAAUAUAAUAAAGAUACCAUAAGAGAAUAUAAUGCAAUUUUAUAGAUUAAACCAUCCAACAGCAUAUAGAGUAAUUGAAAUAGACCCACUUCAACCAACUAAAACAUAAAGUACUGCUUACAUGUCAAUGUGUCAAUAAUAAUGUUCCAGUAAUAUUGUACAUAUAUAAUGGUUUAACACUCUGAAAAUGACCAUUAAGCAUAAUCAGUAGGCUAGUUUUAUUUAUGAUAAUGCUUCUGUUCUUUUACUUAAUUAAACUUUUGUAUGCCGAACAUUUAUUUGGCAGUUACAGUUACUACUUGACAGAUUAUUAUUUUACAUACACAUAUUGAUGAUGAUAUAUGUUGAUAUAUUAUGCAAUAUUACAGGUUAAACCAUUCGACAGUUGUAAGUCUCACCUUCACAUUAAAUAUGCCCCUUGCAUGUUAAUGCAUCAUAGAUAAUAUUUCAGUGAAAUGUUAUAUAUAACAAAACACACUGAAAAGGGCCAUAAUGAGUACAUUGACUUUUUUAUAAAUGAAGUACAUUUUGCUGAUAAUACUUCAUUUAACUUUCACUAACUCUAAUAUUAGGUAUAAUCAGUAUUUUUAUUAGUGAUACUGAUGCUGUUCUUUUACUAAAGCAAACUUUUGUAUGCCAAACUUUUAUACUCGUAACAGAGUAUUUUACCCUGUGGCAUUACUUGACUCAAGUGAAGGAUCCGAGUACCACCGCUCACCGCUGCACUAAAUGUUGCAGCACAUUAUUGGAUAGAAAUGAUAGUUGCUGCAAUCAGAAAAGUAUCUACACUUGUCACAAUCGUUUAACUCCUCAUAACCUUACACCAACUUCUCUCUCUCUCGCUCAGCGGGUAAACUGAUCAAUAGAUCCAUAUCGAGGAAGUGUGCCCCCCCCUCUUGGUGCGUCUGGGUGAAGGUUACAGUGUCACCCGCGCGAUCCUGUCAUUGUCUCGCAUUUUUGUUUGUUGCGGUGUUUGCAUGGCACGCAAUGAACAACCCCCCCCCCCCCAAUCCUUGACUGCAGCUUUUGACAUUACUCCAUGCCCGUUAACACCCGAGUCCAGUCUGAGACAGGCAAGAAGUGUAAAAAGAGGUGGCCCAUGUCAUAUCCGCUUAGUGCGCACGGACUGUUGGCGUGCACGGCUCGGAUCAUUGUUCAGGAGAACAAUUCGUGCACAGAGCAGGCAGGAAAGGCAGAAACAGUGGAAGAAUAGUUGCAAAGAGAGGCUGCUGGCCAGUUUGCACAUA